GCAGAUUGCUGGGAAAAUGCUGCUUCAACAUUCUUUGCACCAAAACGACAUCUUGUUUCAUCUUGGCAAAAUAAUAAAUGAUGUGACAUGACAUGCCCACAUCAGGCAUUGUCUUUCAUAGAGACAAUGGGAUGGAUGCAUGCAUUAUUACAUCCCUACUGGAGCAUAGAGGAGCGCCCACACUACCUCGAUUUCACGUACGUCAGCAGGAGGUGGAGCAACCUCCUCAACUACAAACUGCCCAUCUUCAUCAUCUUCCUCUUCAGAGAGCUUCUUACCAUCCAUAAUGACUGCUGCGGG